GAGGAUAUAGCUCAAGUGGCAGAGCGCACGCCUAGCAUGCACAAGGUCCUGGGUUCAAUUCCCAGUACUUCCU
rfam:Camelus ferus unplaced genomic scaffold scaffold1331, whole genome shotgun sequence.